ACCUGGGUGGCAGAGGACCAAACACUUGUAUAAUUUUCUUCUGUUUUUGCAGGCACAUUAACCAGGAGCUAACUCACAAGCAGAGUAGUUAGGACUUGAACUGCCACUGGAGUUUGGGACCCAGCCCUGGAGCGUGCCUUGUCGCUGGGCCACUUUUCCAGAUCUUAUACACAGCAGGUGCACUUGAAACAUCACCCCACUGAAGAGUGGGGUUUUGUUGGUUUGUCUAUUUUAAGUGACUUAAUUCAAGCAGCACCCUGUUUUCCCUACAGGUCCCCGUUUCUGGAAUUGUCCCAGUUUGCAGGUUACCAGCUGUAUGGCGAUGAGGAGGUGCCAGCCGGUGGGAUCAUCACGGGCAUCGGGAGAGUGUCAGGGGUAGAGUGCAUGAUCGUUGCCAACGACGCGACCGUCAAGGGAGGGACCUACUAUCCGGUCACGGUGAAGAAGCACCUGCGGGCACAAGAGAUCGCGCUGCAGAACAGGCUGCCCUGCAUCUACCUGGGCAAGUGGCCGGCUGGGGACACGCAAGCCUGUUUAGAAGGCUGGACAUGGGACAUGAUCAGUGGGUAGUGAAAAAAAACCUAGGUGGUUGAUUUCUGCCAUAAUCACAGAGGAAACUCUGGGGGAACAUCCUGUGCUAAUACGGCUCGGGAACGACCCCUGGGAACGCCUUGGUGGAAGUGGGGGUUUGGUUUGUCUUUGUUCCACGCUGUGGAAGUUUUUUUUCCUUUCCUGUAUUUUUACUCUUACCCAUAAUGAGUCCAAAUUGUGAAAACAACAGCUACUAUUCAUGGAUCUCUUGAGCGCCCAACACCAUGGGAAAGGCAAAAUUACAUAAUUUGAGCAAAUUUAAAUUUGGGAUUAAGAUAAUUUUGUUUUCUUUUUUGGUGAAUCACAUCUAUUGAUUUGCGAAUGUUAAACUGUUCCUGCUUGCCAGAGAUGAAUCCCAGAUGGUCUGGGUGAAUGAUCUGCCUGAUUGUUGUUGGAUCCUGUUGGCCAGUGUUUUGUUAGAGGAUCUUUGCGUCUGUGUUCAUCAAGGGUAUUGGUUUGUAGUUCUCUUUUUCUGUUGCAUCUCUGUCUGGCUUGGUAUUAAGGUUAUAGUGACUUAAUAAAACGAGUUUGGAAG